GACUCUGUGGCGCAAUGGUAGCGUGUCUGACUCCAGAUCAGAAGGUUGCGUGUUCAAAUCACGUCAGGGUCA
rnacentral:tRNA from 1 species